UCCGCCAUGCCCGGUGAGCUCCAAGAUCUCGAACCGCUCGUCUCCAACCCGUGCGCCCUGCAUGCUCCUGGUCAUUCCAGGGUGCCAUUGAGCCCCUCAUAUGGCAUCCCCGUGCCUGUAUCCUCGCCUGUUUCGGAGCCCAAGCUGCGACGCCGUCGUAGCUCGUCGCUGGUGCUUCUUUGACCACCGCUCGACCUAUGGUUGGGUCUAGUGGAUGCACGCGGGGGAGAGGUUCUCCCUGGUGCGCUCAGUGCGUCAAGCUGCUGCCUGCAGCACCACUCCGGCCGGAUACCGUCAUGUUCCAUUGUCGCCGACGGCUAACCGGCGGUGGCUGACGUGCCGCCUCAUUAUGGUUUAAUUUUCCCCGCUAAUUAACCCCCGCAGAGGCUUAUACUUGGUCCUACAGCUGGUCAAAGCAGGGUCAACCGGGGACUAAUCCCUGGUUUGCCUAUGUGUCACUGAUGUGUGGAUCCCACACGUCACGUUUGACCUGGACCGCCCGUGCCGAUGUAGCGUGACUUACUGAUGACGCAGUAAUCCAUUUGUGGAUUUAUUGAAUCCCAAAAAAUACCUUAAACUUCUAAAAUGCAUAGAAAUUAAUCUAUAACUCACAUCAAAAUAAAUUAUAUAUGAAAAAUUAUCGAAAAAAUGCAAGGAAUCUGUUUAUGCCAUGUUCAUGCAUGUUUAAACAAGUUAACAUCACCAAGUAGGCCAUUUCAUGAUUAGGACCAAUUUGAUAAAUAUUUUGGAGUUGGAAUUAAUGUCUAAUUGAAUUCCACUUCAGUUAAUAUGACCAAAUAUUAAGCUAGGUGAUUUCAGUACCUUAGCAUGCCAUAUCAUACAUCAUGUUCGGUGCAUUGCAUUGGAUGUGUUCUUUUCUUCUUUUGUCGGUGUUGUUCCUUCUCGGUAGACAAUUGUUCCAAUGAUGUGAUCGUUGACAUUAAUGAAGAGAAGUACUAUCUUCGGAACUGUUAGGCAAGCAAUCCCCCUUGAGCAUUCCAAUACAAUCCUACUCUCUCGCUCCUGCUCUCUUUUAUUGCAUUAGCACAAUCACGAUUCAAGUGUUACAUGUUCUGAGUAGUUGAAUCCAUUCCUCUGCAUGACCUGUUUUGCCACAGUAAAUAGUUGAAACCACUUAGCAUGAGUAGCAACUUCUUGAGCCUUCAUGUGGCUACUCAUCCAUGCUUCCUGCUAUGCCUGCUAUGCUUAGAGUCGUGUCGGGUCUAAUCCAUCUGAGUGAUGAACCGGAAUGGCUGUGUUCAUGUCCUAAUGUGUGAGAGUAAAGUGUGUGAAUCCCAUUUCGUAAAGGUAGUGAUGAUAGGCCAUGUAAGAGUACAUGGCAGGUUGUCUCAUUGGGACCGCCCUUAAGAACUGAGUUAUGUGUAUGUUAUCCAAGACAAGAUACUACCACACAUUGGGAUACUUAAUUGACCCUCUCGGCUUAUUAAUCGCCUAGAUCUCUGUCCAGGAGUUGCAACUAGUUUCUGGUGUUUGUAGGAAAAGUGUUGGAGGCCGUGUUUAGCUCUACCCGACGGGGUAGGCUUCAGUGCGGUAGAUACACAGUGGCACGGUGUACCAAGUGGCACCCGGGCGGUGGGCUGGUGGAACCCUACGCACAUCGUUUGAGGUUAUAGAGGAAACUUCGGCUAGACUUCCUUGCGGGUUCAGUCUCAAAUAGGUGAUAAACCUUGACUAGGGUCUUUGUGGUUAACGGUCGUGGCCGACACCCAAACUAGUGCUUCUGCUUGAAGGUUGCCGAGAUGCAUGACGUGCAUAUGGUGAUAAGUGGUGAGAGCGUGUGUGAAGAAGUAUACACUUCCUAGGUGAAUUAAUCUAUUUGAAUAGCCGCGUCAUCGGAUAUGGACUACUUGGAAAGAUUACAUGGUACAUAGAUAACUUGAAAUGGAUACUCUAAAACAUGCUAGAUAAGUGUGAGUGCUAUGGAUGGCCUUCUCGUAGGGAGACGAGAGUGGAUCCAUAGUGGUGUAUUGAUUUGGUGAAUAUGUGGACUCGUGUGCGCUACCCAUCUCAAAGAAAGUGUUCGUGGUCAUAGUAGAGGUUAGCCAAGUGUCAAAGUUGGAUUGCCGCAAUUAAACUCCACAACCCCUUCAUUGAUACUGAUGCAUAUGUAGAUAGUUCUGAUGUAAGUCUUGCUGAGUACCUUUGUACUCACGGUUGCUUAAUUUAUGUUUUGCAGCGGAGACCUUAAUCUCACUACAUGUUUCUAUGUGAUGAGUUUGACAUUGACCGGAAUAGCUUGGGAAUCCCAGAUAGAGGUCUGGCACCUUUGGUAGGGUCAUUGUAGCUUUUCAGGCUCUUCCAGCUGUUUUUAGUAGAUGUCUGUACCCAGACAUGUAACUUCCCGUUGAUGUUUGUAUGCUCUGAAUGUUGGGUCAUGUGACCCCCUCUGUUUGUACCAUUAUACGAUGUUAGCUCUUCGGAGCCUUCUAAAUAAAUGAUAUGUUGUAGAGUUAUCUUGUGAUGCCAUGUUGGAUCUACACAUAUCGUGCAUAUUGCAUGUAUAUUUGAAAUGCAUUGAUAUGUGUGGGAUUCAACACCUAGUUGUGUGCCUUUAGUAGUACUCUUUACGGGGAAAUGCCUCUUUGUGCUUCCACCGAGCCUUGAUAGCUUGCUACUGCUCCGGACACAUUGAUUGACCGACUUGUAUCCUUAUUUUCUACCGUGUCUAUCCCCUCGGGGAAAUGUUACAUGGUGUAAUGGAGUCCCUGUAGCUUGCUACGACUCGUCU
rnacentral:lncRNA from 1 species